rnacentral:rRNA from 1 species
UGGGGAAUAUUGGACAAUGGGCGAAAGCCUGAUCCAGCCAUGCCGCGUGAGUGAUGAAGGCCCUAGGGUUGUAAAGCUCUUUUAGCGGGGAAGAUAAUGACGGUACCCGCAGAAUAAGCCCCGGCUAACUUCGUGCCAGCAGCCGCGGUAAUACGAAGGGGGCUAGCGUUGCUCGGAAUCACUGGGCGUAAAGGGCGCGUAGGCGGCCAUUCAAGUCGGGGGUGAAAGCCCAGGGCUCAACCCUGGAAUUGCCUUCGAUACUGUUUGGCUAGAGACCGGAAGAGGUAAGUGGAACUGCGAGUGUAGAGGUGAAAUUCGUAGAUAUUCGCAAGAACACGAGUGGCGAAGGCGGCUUACUGGUCCGGUUCUGACGCUGAGGCGCGAAAGCGUGGGGAGCAAACAGG